GUCGAGGGGUAGCAGGAUCUAGCAAUAGAUUGCUGACGACCGGCGCACGGGUGAGUAACACGUAUCCAACCUAGCUAUUACUUGGGGAUAGCCUUUCGAAAGAAAGAUUAAUACCCAAUAGUAUAAUGAUCUCGCAUGAGAACAUUAUUAAAGAAUUUCGGUAAUAGAUGGGGAUGCGUUCCAUUAGAUUGUUGGUGAGGUAACGGCUCACCAAGUCUUCGAUGGAUAGGGGUUCUGAGAGGAAGGUCCCCCACACUGGUACUGAGACACGGACCAGACUCCUACGGGAGGCAGCAGUGAGGAAUAUUGGUCAAUGGCCGAGAGGCUGAACCAGCCAAGUCGCGUGAGGGAUGAAGGUUCUAUGGAUCGUAAACCUCUUUUAUACGGGAAUAAAGUGUAGGACGUGUCCUAUUUUGUAUGUACCGUUUGAAUAAGGAUCGGCUAACUCCGUGCCAGCAGCCGCGGUAAUACGGAGGAUCCGAGCGUUAUCCGGAUUUAUUGGGUUUAAAGGGUGCGUAGGUGGUUAUUUAAGUCAGCGGUGAAAGUUUGUGGCUCAACCAUAAAAUUGCCGUUGAAACUGGAUGACUUGAGUGUGUCUGGGGCAGGCGGAAUGCGUGGUGUAGCGGUGAAAUGCUUAGAUAUCACGCAGAACCCCGAUCGCGAAGGCAGCUUGCCAAGCCACGACUGACACUGAAGCACGAAAGCGU
rnacentral:rRNA from 1 species